rnacentral:lncRNA from 1 species
UUAGGAGUUGAUGAUCUCAAUGUGGAACUGCAGUGUUUGCUGUGAUCACCUCUCAACCAAACUACUCACACUUGAAUCCUUAUUUCAGAAUCUGCUUCUAGUGCAACCCAAAGUACAAGUGUAAAGAAAAUAAUUAAUUGUGCUAAUGGCAUAGAAAUGAAGAUGUUUCAGCAUUGGAGAAAGAGAAAUAUAAAAUAACAAGUAAAAAUCUGUAAUCUUAAAUUUGAUUUGGAA